rnacentral:rRNA from 1 species
AGAGUUUGAUCAUGGCUCAGGAUGAACGCUGGCGGCGUGCCUAAUACAUGCAAGUCGAGCGAACUGAUUAGAAGCUUGCUUCUAUGACGUUAGCGGCGGACGGGUGAGUAACACGUGGGCAACCUGCCUGUAAGACUGGGAUAACUUUGGGAAACCGAAGCUAAUACCGGAUAGGAUCUUCUCCUUCAUGGGAGAUGAUUGAAAGAUGGUUUCGGCUAUCACUUACAGAUGGGCCCGCGGUGCAUUAGCUAGUUGGUGAGGUAACGGCUCACCAAGGCAACGAUGCAUAGCCGACCUGAGAGGGUGAUCGGCCACACUGGGACUGAGACACGGCCCAGACUCCUACGGGAGGCAGCAGUAGGGAAUCUUCCGCAAUGGACGAAAGUCUGACGGAGCAACGCCGCGUGAGUGAUGAAGGCUUUCGGGUCGUAAAACUCUGUUGUUAGGGAAGAACAAGUACGAGAGUAACUGCUCGUACCUUGACGGUACCUAACCAGAAAGCCACGGCUAACUACGUGCCAGCAACCGCGGUAAUACGUAGGUGGCAAGCGUUAUCCGGAAUUAUUGGGCGUAAAGCGCGCGCAGGCGGUUUCUUAAGUCUG